AGUGGAUGGGGAGCAACCUAGUUGUGCGUGUGUAAGGGUAGUGCCAAGAAAAGCGAUGAUCAUGUUGAAAAUCAAUUCCCGGUACCCGAAACCGACACAGGUGGGCAAGUAGAGAAUACUAAGGGGCGCGAGGUAACUCUCUCCAAGGAACUCGGCAAAAUGACCCCGUAACUUAGGGAGAAGGGGUGCCACCGAGAGGUGGUCGCAGUGAAGAGGCCCAGGCGACUGUUUAGCAAAAACAUAGGUCUCUGCAAACUCGAAAGAGGAGGUAUAGGGGCUGACGCCUGCCCAGUGCCGGAAGGUUAAAGAAGUUGGUCAGUUUUAGGAUGAAGCUAGCGACUGAAGCCCCGGUGAACGGCGGCCGUAACUAUAACGGUCCUAAGGUAGCGGAAUUCCUUGUCGGGUAAGUUCCGACCCGCACGAAGGGCGUAACGAUCUGGGCGCUGUCUCGGAGAGAGGCUCGGCGAAAUAGGAUUGUCUGUGAAGAUACGGACUACCUGCAUUUGGACAGAAAGACCCUAUGAAGCUUUACUAUAGCUUGGAAUUGUGUUCGGGCUUCCUGUGCGCAGGAUAGGUGGGAGGCGUAGAAGGUAUUCUUGUGGGGAUACUGGAGCCAACGGUGAGAUACCACUCUCAGGAGGCUAGAAUUCUAACUUAAUUAAGGACAGUUUCAGGUGGGUAGUUUGACUGGGGCGGUCGCCUCCAAAAAGGUAACGGAGGCGUACAAAGGUUCCCUCAGACUGGUUGGAAAUCAGUCGAAGAGUGCAAAGGCAGAAGGGAGCUUGACUGCGAGAAGUACAGUUCGAGCAGGGUGGAAACACGGUCUUAGUGAUCCGACGGUGCUGUGUGGAAGGGCCGUCGCUCAACGGAUAAAAGUUACUCUAGGAUAACAGGCUGAUCUCCCCCAAGAGUUCACAUCGACGGGGAGGUUUGGCACCUCGAUGUCGGCUCAUCGCAACCUGGGGCGGAAGUACGUCCCAAGGGUUGGGCUGUUCGCCCAUUAAAGCGGUACGUGAGCUGGGUUCAGAACGUCGUGAGACAGUUCGGUCCAUAUCCGAUGUAGGCGUGAGAAUAUUGAGAGGAGCCUUCCUUAGUACGAGAGGACCGGGAAGGACGCACCGCUGGUGUACCUGUUAUGAUGCCAAUUGUAAACGCAGGGUAGCCAAGUGCGGAGAGGAUAACCGCUGAAAGCAUCUAAGUGGGAAGCCCACCUCAAGAUGAGUAUUCUGGUGUAAGGUCACGGGAAGACGACCCUAAAUAGGCACGAGGUGGAAGUGCAGAGAUGUAUGAAGCCGAAGUGUACUAAUAGACCGUCGGCUUGACC
rnacentral:rRNA from 1 species